GUGGGGAAUCUUCCACAAUGGACGAAAGUCUGAUGGAGCAACGCCGCGUGAGUGAAGAAGGGUUUCGGCUCGUAAAGCUCUGUUGUCGGGGACGAAUGUGCAGUAUUUGAAUAAAGUAUUGCAAUGACGGUACCUGACGAGGAAGCCACGGCUAACUACGUGCCAGCAGCCGCGGUAAUACGUAGGUGGCAAGCGUUGUCCGGAAUUAUUGGGCGUAAAGGGAGCGCAGGCGGGAAGGUAAGUCGGUCUUAAAAGUGCGGGGCGCAACCCCGUGAUGGGAUCGAAACUAUCUUUCUUGAGUGCAGGAGAGGAAAGUGGAAUUCCUAGUGUAGCGGUGAAAUGCGUAGAUAUGGGGAGGAACACCAGUGGCGAAGGCGGCUUUCUGGACGGUGUCUGACACUGAGGCGCGAAAGCCAGGGGAGCGAACGGGAUUAGAAACCCCGGUAGUCC
rnacentral:rRNA from 1 species